GACGGGGCCCGCACAAGCGGUGGAGUAUGUGGUUUAAUUCGACGCAACGCGCAGAACCUUUACCUAGACUUGACAUCCCGGGGAUUUUCUGGAAACAGAGAAGUGCUUUAGCAAUAAAGAACCCGGUGACAGGUGCUGCAUGGCUGUCGUCAGCUCGUGUCGUGAGAUGUUGGGUUAAGUCCCGCAACGAGCGCAACCCUCGCCUUUAGUUGCCAGCAUUCAGUUGGGCACUCUAGAGGGACUGCCGGUGUCAAACCGGAGGAAGGUGGGAUGACGUCAAGUCCUCAUGGCCUUUAUGUCUAGGGCUACACACGUACUACAAUGGCCGGUACAAAGGGCAGCCACUCAGCGAUGAGGCGCUAAUCCCAUAAAGCCGGUCUCAGUCCGGAUCGCAGUCUGCAACUCGACUGCGUGAAGUUGGAAUCGCUAGUAAUCGUAGAUCGGCAUGUCACGGUGAAUACGUUCCCGGGUCUU
rnacentral:rRNA from 1 species